AGAAUCAACGCUGGCGGCGUGCCUCAGACAUGCAAGUCGAACGCGAAAGUCCCCUUCGGGGGACAAGUAGAGUGGCGCACGGGUGAGUAACACGUAGGUAAUCUACCUUUGGAUGGGGAAUAACAACCGGAAACGGUUGCUAAUACCGCAUAAUGCAGCGGCACCUAAUGGUGACAGUUGUUAAAGCGGGGGAUCGAAAGACCUCGCGUCUGAAGAGGAGCCUGCGGCGGAUUAGCUAGUUGUAAGGUAAUGGCUUACAAGGCUACGAUCC
rnacentral:rRNA from 1 species